CGCAGAAGAUGACCAGCUGGCAACCCUGCCGCCAACCGUUUCGGAGGCGCCGCGUUUUGCUUUCAAAGCGCCGCGGCAGUGCGAAUGACAGCCGUCACGCGGACGGGUCUACCUGUCAGAGUAUCGUUUCCGGUUAUCAGUUGUCAUAUUUCGUAGCACAGAGAAGACCAUAGUGUGAGGCAGCAUUGUGUGCAGUGAUAACUAAAAAUUGAAUAGAAGAAUUUCUCCUGUGAAUAAUUUUCUUAUUAGUUCCGUGAAUUUCAGUACGAAAAUUAGUGGUUCUAAGAUAGUCCUAACCGCGCCGUCGAAGUCCGUGUAGGUGUCCGCAGUCCGCUCAUCCUUUAUCGUAAAAUCCUGUAAAGAAAACAUCGAAGAACCUCGGUUGAGGUUAGGUUUUCCAUAAGGGCGUGUGCAGAAGAACAAAGGCUUACCGAAUUUUUGAAGCACCUGAAUACACUUUACGCUAUCAAAACCGGUUUGGCUUUAAUUCACGCCCCGAACCCCGACAGAAUGCAUACCUUAAAUUUCAAGUGCUGUAUUUGUUAUCCCAAAGUUAUUGAAUAACAAACUAAUAACAUUUCUUGUUAUUAAAUGUUUCAUUUGUUCGUUGACUUCAUGAUGUAAUAAUAAAUCUUGUUCUUCGGUUAUUUCCACUGCUAAACCAACAAAUACUACAUCAAUACCAAACUCUGCUCAAAUACCUCCUACUGUUAUUGUGAUGUUCUUAUAACAUUUCAUAGAAUAACGCAGCAAUAACAAUUUUAGAUAUUAGAGCACAUGCUGCUCUUCGCAUGAUAUUUGUAAGGUAUGCCCUUCUGCUCGGGAAGCGUACCACAAUGGGUUCAAACAGCGCCCUGAAAAGGGCACUGUAAUAACGCAUAAAGCGAAAGAGAGCCUAUAGCUCUUUACCACAGCGGGUUAAGAACAACAGAAUAUGCUGAAUAUUCAGGUCUCUGAAGUCAGUUUCACUUAAUAAGUGUUUACCGAAUACUCGGAAACGCAGUUGCGCAAAAACUGGACAGAUAAAUAUCAAAUGAUACGAAGUUCCAUAAUCGGAUUCACAGCUAUCACAUGCAAAUGAAUCAGCUUGCUGAAUAAUCGCCAUGUGGUAGCUUAGUCGGCAGUGGCCAGUCAAUGCUUUGACCAGAAUGCUGCAAUUCUGCUUUGACAGAUUUGUAAGAUACUUCGCCACCCUUGAAGAAGGCUCAGUACAAUACAAUUUGGUUUGACGACAUGACUCCAAACUAUUCCAGUAUUGUCUG